rnacentral:rRNA from 1 species
CUUAAUUGAUAUAAAUUCAAUUCAAGCAAUGCGGGGUUGAGCCUGGUCAGUACCUGGAAGGGAGACCUCCUGGGAAAACUAGGUUGCUGUUGGGA